rnacentral:piRNA from 1 species
UCAAAGAAAAUGGAUAAGAAGUCUCUGAU